UACAGGGGGGGCAAGCGUUGUUCGGAAUUACUGGGCGUAAAGGGCUCGUAGGCGGCCAACUAAGUCCGACGUGAAAUCCCCAGGCUUAACCUGGGAACUGCGUCGGAUACUGGAUGGCUUGAAUUCGGGAGAGGGAUGCAGAAUUCCAGGUGUAGCGGUGAAAUGCGUAGAUAUCUGGAGGAAUACCGGUGGCGAAGGCGGCAUCCUGGACCGACAUUGACGCUGAGACACGAAAGCGUGGGUAGCAAACAGG
rnacentral:rRNA from 1 species